CUUUGCGAUUGGUGUCCUGGAUUUCUUGGUUAAGAUUUUUCCAGGAUUGGAAGAUGCAGCCGAGUUUGGGAAGAUUGGACGGUACUAUGCUGCAGAGAGUAUGUUGAUUCUGGAUCCCGAGACAGGGGAGUACAGUUCUGAUAAAACGCCUAGCUAUGGGAAGGACACAUUGGAAGAGUUCUUUGAGAAGGUUCUACGUGAAGGAAUGGCAGGUCAAGAAUUGGGGGAACAGACAAUUUUUUGAACGAUUGGUGCUGUGAAGGAAAUGGGUUCAAUUACCAAUAAUUGGGUUAGGCAGCUUCAGUUUUGUAACAUUAUCUCACCUAAAGUUGCGGAUCCUUACCCGGAAACUGAUCAAGCACCUGUAUAAUCUGUGAGUAAGAUAUGUAUGUAACGAUUGAUUCUUACUGCCAAUGCACACAUUCUGUUAUUCAUAACUUUGAAGUUGUUGAUGUCUCGUGCACGGUAUUCACCACAUUGCAUAAAACUAUGGAUUAGAUGUUAGAAAUGAUUCGAAGAGUAAUAAGUUGCAUAAAAAAUUUGGUCCGAUGGCAGAAACAUAUGCUGGUAGUGGAAAACUCAUGAAGUAAAAAAAUCAGAAUAUCAAAUGCCCUUGACUAAUUAUUACUGCUUUGUGAAUCCUUGCCUGUUGAAUUGUUGAGGCCUUCUGUAUUCUAGUCGUGAUCCGUUUGGAUAGUUGCAAUUCUUGAAGUUACUUUUAAUGUGGUUCUGGAGGAACAAUUUGAACAGUUUUGAGAUUGACCUUAGAUGCAUUAGAAAAAAUGGAAACAUGAGAAAAAAGAAAUGCCUUGCUAAAGCAAGAGGAGGUUGGGGUUUUGUAAUAUGGCUGUCUUUGGCAAAGAACUUUUUGUACGGAUGGUUCUUUUUUAUUUCCUUAUUAUUUUGUGUUCAUGUUGUGACCCUGGCAUGUUCAGCGAAUAGCUCAUUCUGACAUUUUAUUUGCAGUAGACACUUCUAGGCAACCCAAAAUCUUUGCAGAAAGUCUCUCGGUGAGCAUCAAGGUACUUGUGGAAGUCUGAUACACAUCUUGAUGCUGCUAGCUAAAAACUUGGUGUUCUUGCUAGAUGUCAUAUAUUGAAUUUAGGCCCGAAUGAAAGAAUUUUCAACAUGUUCUAGAUUUUAGGAAUUCUUUGAGACCAUUUACACCUGCAGUUCCCGUUCCUGGGCAUAGGAGUUAGGUCAGAACUGGAAUAUGCGAGUAUGACACCAUAACAAGUCCCAAAGCAUACUCUUGUUGCUUGCGUCAGUUGGUCAUUUCAUUUUGAAAUUUUCCCAGGAUUGUGAAGUAUCUUUUCGUUAGAUAUGGUCUAUAUGCCAACCUGAGUCAAAACAGGAAAUUUGGAAGGUGUCAUGCUGGGAAAAAAUGGUUGAAAGAGCUAAAAGAGGAUGAUUUUGCUGCAAGCCAAUAUCUAGGUGCUAAGAAUCGAUAGACUUGAAUGAGCAUACCUCUCCAUUGGGUUUCUCCUUGUUUAGCUUUGUGUCAUGUAAAUGCCAUUCGUGUUAUAUCAGAACAAGGACCUUCUGUGGAAGGAGUUUGUAAUGCCCACUUCUUGCUGAAUCAAUGGCAUUGCUUUGGCCAGUAUCUUCUCCUCAAAAAAAACAAAAAAAAAAUCGUCAUUAAAUGUAAUUCUUCUUGGACAUAAAGAGUCAAAGAGUGAUGGUUCUUGGUCAAAUCGGUCAACCUAUUUUGCGUUUCUUUGCUACUUCAUGCUUUGUAUAGGGCCUCUAAAAACCAAUCACUUUGGUCCUGGUUAAUUCCUGUUUUUCACAUAUUUUGAUAUAUGGUGCCCAGCAAAAUGUUCUCUUCAUGAACCACUCGUCUUGUGAAAUUUGAGACGAGCUCAAAUGUAGAUAGAAUGUUAGAACCCUUGACGAGUGGGGAACAAUAUCUGAUGGGCCCGUUGUAAGAAAAAGAUGGUACAUCACUAUAAAUACCAGAACAAGACGUAUGCAGUGAAAAUACAGAGGACAGAUGCCCCCUUUUUUUAUUCACGAGCAGAACACAUCUAUGAUCUAUCUACCUGUAAUUGAGGUACAAAACAUGGACAACAUUUUCGCAGGGGGAUCAUGAACGGCGAGGCCAAAGUCACACUCAAAGUGUGAGAUUUCUACUGUGGGAUCUUCUUUUGCAGAGAGAGGAUGGAGAGGAUGAUGAGGAGGAUGAGAACCAAAGCAGCCAGGAUCGAGACUGCAAAGGAGGUCUCAAGGUGCUGACAGAACUUGUCAUAGACAUUGCAAGACUCGUCCCGUCUCUCAUGGCUGUUCCCCUUCAGCCAUAUGUAGGCAACCCCUCCUGCUGUCCCCGUUGCUGAGGCCACUAAUCCCAGCAUCACCUGGGCAUUUCACAACACAGUUUGAUCAAUCUCAGUGCCACACUGAGCUUGCUCAUGAAUUAUGAGACAUUCGUGCUCUGGGGCUGCUAGAAAAGCACGGUCCAUUCCUUUACUUAUCGCGGUUUUAAAGGAGAUACUCGAACAAAAGUUUGUUCAUUUACCAAAAGAACCAAAAAAAAAAAAAAAAAAAAAAAUAGAGUGCUAAAGUUUGGUGCUUGAGAGCUCACCACAUCCGAGACCACAAAGAAGAGGAGGAAGCUGGCUGAGAAGGCCGGCUUCAAGACGACCGAGAUGGACGCGAGUGCCGUGAUGAUGCUGUAGAGGCAAGCCACUGAGAAAGCCACUACAAAGUAUCUGCACAGAAAUUAACUACUGUAAAAAAGGUGAAAUUAUUCUUGGAAAGCUUGAUUGUUAUUUAAGGAUUACGGCGAAUAAACUGUCAUCCAAACAAGAUCGGUUCUUGCAUGGGUUCCAGGUAGGGAAGGGUUCAGUUACUUGUCGCACUACGCUAUCCGAGAUGACUUCCACACAGUUGCGAGUGCAUAGUACUAUUGAUUUUAUCAAUUACAUCGAAAUAAAAGUAAGUUAUUAGGUUUCUAAGGAGGACCGCUCACUUCAUAAAUGUGUGAAAAGUGAUUGAUUUGGUCGUUGAUUUAAUCUCUCGUCUUCAUUUUUGUUCGUUAUGGGGCGACGGCUUCCAGAGGACGUAAAACUAAUGGUCAAAAUUACAUACGAACAACUCGUCACGUGCAUAGACCUUGACAUUUUGUCUACUGCAUUGGUAUUUAUUGUCGCAGCUCAUGUUCUUUGUUCUUACAAGGCACCCCGGAUUAGUAAGCCACGUCGAACCAAUCGAUGGACAUGUUAUUAAAGUCUUGGCAAUCAAAAAGUUUCUGGUUUUAUUUUUCUGGACAGUUAAAUUUCGAUUAUUUGGAUUCUUUGGCACGUUUACGGCAUAUCCCAGGCAUAUAAUCAAGACUAAUAAUAGUUCGUUUGACGUAAAAUAUCCUUGUUUUCCCUGCAAAAGUUGCAGAAAGAUGUUCUUCAAGAACUUCACUUGUGUGGGACACUUUUUCACUGUUUUCACUGAAAAGGAAACAGAACCAAGAACUUAAGCACACGCACGUAAGAAAAUAACGCAUGAUGAUAUCUACGGGUGGUUUAAACAUCUCUCUGAUAGAGACUAUUCAGUAUGGCAAAACUAGCAUCAAAAGGGGAAAGAAAGAGUCAACUUCUUGAUGGGUAUAAACCAACUUCUGCGAGUAAGACGGAGAGAGGUAUGAUCGAAAUGAACUACAACCCUAACGACGAAGGAAGGGAUUGGUUCGGGCACGCUUCGAGGAGCGUAGCAAUCGGUGUUUGGCAUCUUCUUAAUUAGGCAAGGAAGAAGUAGCUAGCAAAAGGAGUGAGAAGUAGAGCUAGGAUGCAAGGGAAGCUGGGCAGGUCUAGAGUCUUUAGAUUUUUCAAAUCCCUUACUCAAAAACAGUUAGAGAUGCAUGGAACCUUAUGAGUAACUAGCGACUUACAUGAAAGCAGAGUAGUUAUCGAACUUAGCCUCCGCAAGUGCCCCUGAGAAUGGUCCUGGAAAAGGAUCUUCUCUCGUUUGCUUGCUAAAGACCAUGACCAAGAGCGCGAUCAGCGUCAAAGCAAACAGCAACCCUCGAAGAGCCGUGAGCAAUCUUGCCACGUGUGGAGGACCUGCGGGCGGAGGCGGGACCUCCACUUUUGGCGGUGGCGCCUCAGCUGGCUUCGCCGCCUCAGGAUCGGCUACUUCUUCUUGGGUUGACAUGGUUGCUCUAGGUGUAAGCUGGGCUUGAGUCUGUGGUUAUGGCCGCAAUAGAUGCUUGGUCUAUUAUAUAUACAUGUAGAAGUGGCAACGACUCGAUUCUUUUAUAUUUUAAUUUAUCUGUUUUUGGGUUGAAUAAGGAUGUGAAAUGUGAAUGAUUUUGGUUGGUUGGAGUACCAGGUACGCAAAAGCCAGAUUGGAUGGUUACAUAUUCUUGCAUCUAUCACUGAGUUGGAAGGGUCGACCCGGACAAAUGAGAAGACCAAAGAACUGUGGACACGCGCAAUAACGACGGUCAAGUUCAACGGAGUGCUUACGAAGUACUUGAGAUGAAGUUGGGUUUCCUAAAUAUCUAGUCCGAGCAUUAAACCAGCGCGAAUUUAGGAUUUAGUACACAUGAUGACUAGAGGAUAUUGUCAUCAACCAAAUAGAAGGAUAUUACUAGGGCCGUCAAAUGGGUGAGUCAGGUUAGGUGGGGCUUGAUCUCGUUGAUGUUAGGUAAGCUCGGCCUUACCAUAGACCGACAAGGCUUGAGCUCACUGAUGAGGCUCGACCUCAUUAGAAUUUGGUGAGCUCAGGCCUCGCCGACUUAUGGCAAGGUUCGAGCUCGCCUGUGGCUGGUCGUUGGCCACGGCUGCCUUCAACUGGCCAAUGAAGAAGAAAAAGAAAAAGAAAAAGAAAGAAAGGGAAUAAAUAAAAAAAAGAAGAAGAAAAGGAAAUUGAAAAGUAAUAGAUUUAUUGUAUUAAUUGAGGAAGUUUUUUGUUAGGUUAUUCACUUAAUAUUGAAAAUGGAUUCUGACCCAUUUUCGACCAUAUAACUCAGCUUAGAACUUUUUGGACUCAUUUUAACUAGGCUUUUGUAUCUUCAUAAUCCACAUGCAAUCUAUUAAUAUUAAAUGAGUCAAAAAGUUUUGAAUAGAAAAAUCGUCUUUCGCUUGGGCCGUCCCUAGAGAUCAUUGCGGUCUUCUUUUCGUAGCCGAGGUCUGGCGACAGAGAUUGUGAAUUAUGAGGCCACGAGAAAUAGCCUUCUUGCCGGCAGGAAAUUCGGGGCUGCGCAUUUCGUGUUGCUUUCUGCUAUUUGCGUGCAAAAGCACCUUCUUGAGGUUCAGGUUGAGUUGGUGAAGGAUGGGAAGCCUUAUGUCAUGUUUGGAGACGGAAAGUUUGCGCUUGUAAGCCAAUUAGUGAGCCGGAUUUAGCUUCUUUUAUUGCAGACUGUGUUUCGAAUGAAGACAAGAUAAACCAGGUUUCGCCAAUUGGUGGGCCAGGGAAGGCUGUGACGCCUCUCGAGCAAGGGGAGAUUUUGUUUAGACUUUUGGGGAAGGAGCCCAAGUUCUUGGAAGUGCCGAUCGAGAUUAUGGACUUUGCGAUUGGCAUCCUGGAUUUCUUGGUUAAGAUUUUUCCAGGAUUGGAAGAUGCAGCCGAGUUUGGGAAGAUUGGACGGUACUAUGCUGCGGAGAGUAUGUUGAUUCUGGAUCCCGAGACAGGGGAGUACAGUUCUGAUAAAACACCUAGCUAUGGGAAGGACACAUUGGAAGAGUUCUUUGAGGAGGUUCUUCGGGAAGGAAUGGCAGGUCAAGAAUUGGGGGAG
rnacentral:lncRNA from 1 species